rnacentral:rRNA from 1 species
AUGCCCGCCCUGCGCCGUCCUGCCAGCCCCAUGCCGUCCUGCCUCUGCUGCGCCACCUCACGCCGUCAUGCCUCUGCCGCGCCACCCCACGCCGUCCUGACUGCCCUGCGUCGCCCCGCACCGUCCCGUGCCUCCCUGGCCGCCCCGCGCCGUCCUGCCCGUCCAUCGGCGCCCCGUGCCGUCCUGCCCAUCCAUCGACGCCCCGCGCAGUUCCGUCUUGCCCAUCCACCGGUGCCCCGCACUCGUCCGUCCGAGUGGCUGCUUCAACUUGUAUCGGGGCAGCGUGCGUCUGAGGUUGCACAGAGUACCACUGUUGGUACCAUUGAGCAGAGGAAGAAGAGUAGCAGAAUCAUUGGAAAGACAUACAAAAGGAGCAGGAAGGAACCAGGACGAUGUCAGUUUACAUCAGCUAGAGAUUUCUGUAAUGGAGCAAAAACAAUGCGUCUUUUAGGUCUCAUUUUUUCACCUGGGUAUUUUGUGUAA